AGGGUUGUAGUUAAACAUAACAUUUGAUUUGCAAUCAAAAAGUACUGAACAACAGUCAUCCUUU
rnacentral:tRNA from 1 species